rnacentral:rRNA from 1 species
ACCUGGCUCACGCCGGUUUAAACUCAGAUCAUGUAAAGUUUUAAAGGUCGAACAGACCUAAUUUAUUAGSUUYUACACCAAUAAUUUCCUUUAAUCCAACAUCGAGGUCGCAAUCUUUUCUUUUAAUUUGAACUYUAAAAAAAAAUUACGCUGUUAUCCCUAAGGUAAUUUUAUCUUAUAAUCUUAAAUAAAGGAUCAGGCUUUCAUUUAUAAAUGUAAGAAUAAAAAAAAAGUUAAUUUGAUUUUUUAAUCACC